rnacentral:rRNA from 1 species
CAGCCGCCACGGUAAUACGUAGGGUGCAAGCGUUAAUCGGAAUUACUGGGCGUAAAGCGUGCGCAGGCGGUUUGUUAAGACAGAUGUGAAAUCCCCGGGCUCAACCUGGGAACUGCAUUUGUGACUGGCAAGCUAGAGUCUGGCAGAGGGGGGUGGAAUUCCGCGUGUAGCAGUGAAAUGCGUAGAUAUGCGGAGGAACACCGAUGGCGAAGGCAGCCCCCUGGGCCAACACUGACGCUCAUGCACGAAAGCGUGGGGAGCAAACAGGAUUAGAUACCCCCGUAGUCCCUGUCUCUUAUAC